GUGGGGAAUAUUGGACAAUGGGGGGAACCCUGAUCCAGCCAUGUCGCGUGUGUGAAGAAGGCCUUUUGGUUGUAAAGCACUUUAAGCGAGGAGGAGGCUACCGAGAUUAAUACUCUUGGAUAGUGGACGUUACUCGCAGAAUAAGCACCGGCUAACUCUGUGCCAGCAGCCGCGGUAAUACAGAGGGUGCAAGCGUUAAUCGGAUUUACUGGGCGUAAAGCGCGCGUAGGUGGCCAAUUAAGUCAAAUGUGAAAUCCCCGAGCUUAACUUGGGAAUUGCAUUCGAUACUGGUUGGCUAGAGUAUGGGAGAGGAUGGUAGAAUUCCAGGUGUAGCGGUGAAAUGCGUAGAGAUCUGGAGGAAUACCGAUGGCGAAGGCAGCCAUCUGGCCUAAUACUGACACUGAGGUGCGAAAGCAUGGGGAGCAAACAGGAUUAGAAACCCGAGUAGUCC
rnacentral:rRNA from 1 species